rnacentral:misc_RNA from 1 species
UGCGAUUAUUUAAGCAUUGAAAUAGGAUUGUUUUUUCUGGUGAGCUUCAACAACCUUCUCAAUCUUGCUCCAUUCAUGUUACUUUGAAAAUUGUUUAUUCGUUGUUUAAAAUUCAUGCAUUUAUUUAAGAGUAUCAGUAUAUUCUUUAUAUUGUUCUAUUCAACAUACAUGUAUGUACCUUUUCACUAAUUACCGGUAUGUGAAAUGUUAAAUUUUGUCAGUGCUUAGUGUGUUGAUAUCCAUAGACGCUAUUUUGUGUGAGACUGAUAUAUAUAUGUAUAACAAUAUAGUACAUGUAUUUGUAUCUGCUACACAUAUAGCAUUGGAGUAUUUAUUAUAGCCAGCAAGUGCUAUGGAGAGGGGUUCACAGUGUUGUAAUGGUAUAAAGUUGUAUCAUAUUAAAAAAUGUGAUAUUUCCUCUUUAAUAGAUGUUUUAAUUCUGUUGUUUGAAUGUGCAGAAAAUCAACCCUAGCUACCUGUCAUGGGCUUUGUGUGAAUGUAUUAUUGUGUAAAAGAUGGAUGCAGAUUUGUCCCAAGACUGAAAAAAUGAUGCAUAUUAUUUUAAGCUUCUCACUAUGUUGAUAAUACUUAAAUAUCAUUAGAAUAUAUUUUGUAAGUGUGUCAAAUUCAGAGCUCAUUUGAAAUUCUCCAGAUCUUGUUUAAUUUCUCAAACGAAUAUUUUGAAUUCUGAAAGAUUUUUUGUUUGAGUUUAUUUUUGUCCAUUCGAAACAAGUUUGACACGCUUACGUACAUGUAACUGAUAGAAGUUUGCAUAAUUUUCGUAUUUCGGAUAUUGCUUUCCUUUUGAUUUUGCCUUGAAAACAAGAGAAAAUUUAAUAAAGAAUCAUUGAUACAUAU